rnacentral:rRNA from 1 species
ACGGGGUGCAGCAGGCGCGAAAACUCCGCAAUGCGGGAAACCGCGACGGGGCCACCCCGAGUGCCGGCCGAAGAGGCCGGCUUUUGCCCGGUGUAAGGAGCCGGGCGAAUAAGCGGGGGGCAAGUCUGGUGUCAGCCGCCGCGGUAAUACCAGCCCCGCGAGUGGUCGGGGUGAUUACUGGGCCUAAAGCGCCCGUAGCCGGCCCGGCAAGUCCUCCCCGAAAUCCCCGGGCUCAACCCGGGGGCUGGGGAGGAUACUGCCGGGCUUGGGGGCGGGAGAGGCCGAGGGUACUCCCGGGGUAGGGGCGAAAUCCGAUAAUCCCGGGAGGACCACCAGUGGCGAAGGCGCUCGGCUGGAACGCGCCCGACGGUGAGGGGCGAAAGCUGGGGGAGCAAAGGGGAUUAGAUACCCCUGUAGUCCCAGCUGUAAACGAUGCGGG